UAACGGCGAGUGAAGCGGCAAGAGCUCAGAUUUGAAAUCUGGCGCUUCGGCGUCCGAGUUGUAAUCUGUAGAGGAUGCUAUUGGGUAGCCACCGGUCUAAGUCCCCUGGAACGGGGCGUCGCAGAGGGUGAGAAUCCCGUAUGUGACCGGAAGGGCGCCCUCCACAUAGCUCCUUCGACGAGUCGAGUUGUUUGGGAAUGCAGCUCUAAAUGGGAGGUAAAUUCCUUCUAAAGCUAAAUACCGGCCAGAGACCGAUAGCGCACAAGUAGAGUGAUCGAAAGAUGAAAAGCACUUUGGAAAGAGAGUUAAAAAGCACGUGAAAUUGUUGAAAGGGAAGCGCUUGCAACCAGACUUGUUGGCGGUGUUCCGCCGGUCUUCUGACCGGUGUACUCACCGUCUGCAGGCCAGCAUCAUCUGGGGCCGCCGGAUAAAAGCGGGGGGAAUGUGGCUCCCUCGGGAGUGUUAUAGCCCCUCGUGCAAUACGGCGUGCCUCGGGUGAGGUCCGCGCUUCGGCUAGGAUGCUGGCGUAAUGGUCGUAAGCGGCCCGUCUUGAAACACGGACCAAGGAGUCUAACAUCUAUGCGAGUGUUCGGGUGUCAAACCCCUACGCGUAAUGAAAGUGAACGGAGGUGGGAGCCUUAGGGUGCACCAUCGACCGAUCCUGAUGUCUUCGGAUGGAUUUGAGUAAGAGCAUAGCUGUUGGGACCCGAAAGAUGGUGAACUAUGCCUGGAUAGGGUGAAGCCAGAGGAAACUCUGGUGGAGGC
rnacentral:rRNA from 1 species